rnacentral:rRNA from 1 species
GUGUCAGCCGCCGCGGUAAUACGAAUGGGGCAAGCGUUGUUCGGAUUUACUGGGCGUAAAGCGGGCGUAGGCGGCCGGCUAAGUCGGAUGUGAAAUCCCGGGGCUCAACUCCGGAACUGCAUCCGAUACUGGUCGGCUAGAGUUCGAGAGGGGGAUGCGGAAUUCCGCGUGUAGCAGUGAAAUGCGUAGAUAUGCGGAGGAACACCUGAGGCGAAGGCGGCAUCCUGGAUCGACACUGACGCUGAGGCCCGAAAGCGUGGGGAGCAAACAGGAUUAGAUACCCGGGUAGUCCUGGCCGUAAACGAUGGAUGCUAGAUGUGGGCGGGGAGACCCGUCCGUGUCGCAAGCUAACGCGUUAAGCAUCCCGCCUGAGGAGUACGGCCGCAAGGUUGAAACUCAAAGGAAUUGACGGGG